CCUGCCACUGGCGCGCUCCCUGCUCCGACUCUGUCUCCACAACCGGCUUAUUCCUGUCAGAGUACGGAGCGGAAAGAAAAGUAAGAGCGUCUGAUCCCCGACUUGUCAAUAAGAAUAGAAACA